GAUAGCUUGUGUGUUAGUGGAACGGUCUGGAAAGUCCGGCGAUACAGGGUGAUAGCCCCGUACACGAAAACGCACUUGUGGUACUAAGCUUGCGAUAAGUAGGUCGGGACACGUGUUAUCUUGACUGAAGAUAGGGGGACCAUCCUCUAAGGCUAAAUA
rnacentral:rRNA from 1 species